UACGUAGGUGGCUAGCGUUGUCCGGAUUUACUGGGCGUAAAGAGCGCGCAGGCGGUCGUUCAAGUCGAGUGUGAAAGCCCCCGGCUCAACUGGGGAGGGUCACUCGAUACUGACUCGACUCGAAGGCAGGAGAGGGAACGGAAUUCCCGGUGUAGUGGUGAAAUGCGUAGAUAUCAGGAGGAACACCGGUGGCGAAGGCGGGUCUCUGGGCAACUACUGACGCUGAGG
rnacentral:rRNA from 1 species